CCGGCCUGAGAGGGCGACCGGCCACAUUGGGACUGAGAUACGGCCCAGACUCCUACGGGAGGCAGCAGUGGGGAAUAUUGCACAAUGGGCGCAAGCCUGAUGCAGCGACGCCGCGUGCGGGAUGACGGCCUUCGGGUUGUAAACCGCUUUUGAUCGGGAGCAAGCCUUCGGGUGAGUGUACCUUUCGAAUAAGCACCGGCUAACUACGUGCCAGCAGCCGCGGUAAUACGUAGGGUGCAAGCGUUAUCCGGAAUUAUUGGGCGUAAAGGGCUCGUAGGCGGUUCGUCGCGUCCGGUGUGAAAGUCCAUCGCUUAACGGUGGAUCUGCGCCGGGUACGGGCGGGCUGGAGUGCGGUAGGGGAGACUGGAAUUCCCGGUGUAACGGUGGAAUGUGUAGAUAUCGGGAAGAACACCAAUGGCGAAGGCAGGUCUCUGGGCCGUUACUGACGCUGAGGAGCGAAAGCGUGGGGAGCGAACAGGAUUAGAUACCCUGGUAGUCCACGCCGUAAACGGUGGAUGCUGGAUGUGGGGCCCGUUCCACGGGUUCCGUGUCGGAGCUAACGCGUUAAGCAUCCCGCCUGGGGAGUACGGCCGCAAGGCUAAAACUCAAAGAAAUUGACGGGGGCCCGCACAAGCGGCGGAGCAUGCGGAUUAAUUCGAUGCAACGCGAAGAACCUUACCUGGGCUUGACAUGUUCCCGACAGCCGUAGAGAUAUGGCCUCCCUUCGGGGCGGGUUCACAGGUGGUGCAUGGUCGUCGUCAGCUCGUGUCGUGAGAUGUUGGGUUAAGUCCCGCAACGAGCGCAACCCUCGCCCUGUGUUGCCAGCACGUCAUGGUGGGAACUCACGGGGGACCGCCGGGGUCAACUCGGAGGAAGGUGGGGAUGACGUCAGAUCAUCAUGCCCCUUACGUCCAGGGCUUCACGCAUGCUACAAUGGCCGGUACAACGGGAUGCGACACGGCGACGUGGAGCGGAUCCCUGAAAACCGGUCUCAGUUCGGAUUGGAGUCUGCAACCCGACUCCAUGAAGGCGGAGUCGCUAGUAAUCGCGGAUCAGCAACGCCGCGGUGAAUGCGUUCCCGGGCCUUGUACACACCGCCCGUCAAGUCAUGAAAGUGGGUAGCACCCGAAGCCGGUGGCCUAACCCUUUGUGGAUGGAGCCGUCUAAGGUGAGACUCGUGAUUGGGACUAAGUCGUAACAAGGUAGCCGUACCGGAAGGUGCGGCUG
rnacentral:rRNA from 1 species